rnacentral:rRNA from 1 species
GAAUCGCUAGUAAUCGCGGAUCAGCACGCCGCGGUGAAUACGUUCCCGGGCCUUGUACACACCGCCCGUCACACCAUGAGAGUUUGUAACACCCGAAGCCGGUGGCGUAACCCUUUUAGGGAGCGAGCCGUCUAAGGUGGGACAAAUGAUUAGGGUGAAGUCGUAACAAGGUAGCCGUAGGAGAACCUGCGGCUGGAUCACCUCCUUU